rnacentral:rRNA from 1 species
CUAUUCUGCGAUACCCGCCGGUAAGGUUAUAUGAACCGUUAUAACCGGCUAUUUCCGAAUGGGGAAACCCAGUGUGACUCGUCACACUAUCAUUAACUGAAUCCAUAGGUUAAUGAGGCGAACCGGGGGAACUGAAACAUCUAAGUACCCCGAGGAAAAGAAAUCAACCGAGAUUCCCCCAGUAGCGGCGAGCGAACGGGGAGGAGCCCAGAGCCUGAAUCAGCAUGUGUGUUAGUGGAAGCGUCUGGAAAGGCGCGCGAUACAGGGUGACAGCCCCGUACACAAAAGCGCAUGUGCUGUGAGCUCGAUGAGUAGGGCGGGACACGUGGUAUCCUGUCUGAAUAUGGGGGGACCAUCCUCCAAGGCUAAAUACUCCUGACUGACCGAUAGUGAACCAGUACCGUGAGGGAAAGGCGAAAAGAACCCCGGCGAGGGGAGUGAAAAAGAACCUGAAACCGUGUACGUACAAGCAGUGGGAGCNNGGGCGUUAAGUUGCAGGGUAUAGACCCGAAACCCGGUGAUCUAGCCAUGGGCAGGUUGAAGGUUGGGUAACACUAACUGGAGGACCGAACCGACUAAUGUUGAAAAAUUAGCGGAUGACCUGUGGCUGGGGGUGAAAGGCCAAUCAAACCGGGAGAUAGCUGGUUCUCCCCGAAAGCUAUUUAGGUAGCGCCUCGUGAAUUCAUCUCCGGGGGUAGAGCACUGUUUCGGCUAGGGGGCCAUCCCGGCUUACCAACCCGAUGCAAACUGCGAAUACCGGAGAAUGUUAUCACGGGAGACACACGGCGGGUGCUAACGUCCGUCGUGAAGAGGGAAACAACCCAGACCGCCAGCUAAGGUCCCAAAGUCAUGGUUAAGUGGGAAACGAUGUGGGAAGGCCCAGACAGCCAGGAUGUUGGCUUAGAAGCAGCCAUCAUUUAAAGAAAGCGUAAUAGCUCACUGGUCGAGUCGGCCUGCGCGGAAGAUGUAACGGGGCUAAACCAUGCACCGAAGCUGCGGCAGCGACGCUGAUGCGUUGUUGGGUAGGGGAGCGUUCUGUAAGCCUGCGAAGGUGGCCUGUGAGGGUUGCUGGAGGUAUCAGAAGUGCGAAUGCUGACAUAAGUAACGAUAAAGCGGGUGAAAAGCCCGCUCGCCGGAAGACCAAGGGUUCCUGUCCAACGUUAAUCGGGGCAGGGUGAGUCGACCCCUAAGGCGAGGCCGAAAGGCGUAGUCGAUGGGAAACGGGUUAAUAUUCCCGUACUUGGUGUUACUGCGAAGGGGGGACGGAGAAGGCUAUGUUGGCCGGGCGACGGUUGUCCCGGUUUAAGCGUGUAGGUGUGUGUUCCAGGUAAAUCCGGUUCACUUUAACACUGAGGCGUGAUGACGAGGCACUACGGUGCUGAAGCAACAAAUGCCCUGCUUCCAGGAAAAGCCUCUAAGCAUCAGGUAACAUCAAAUCGUACCCCAAACCGACACAGGUGGUCAGGUAGAGAAUACCAAGGCGCUUGAGAGAACUCGGGUGAAGGAACUAGGCAAAAUGGUGCCGUAACUUCGGGAGAAGGCACGCUGACACGUAGGUGAAGUGAUUUACUCAUGGAGCUGAAGUCAGUCGAAGAUACCAGCUGGCUGCAACUGUUUAUUAAAAACACAGCACUGUGCAAACACGAAAGUGGACGUAUACGGUGUGACGCCUGCCCGGUGCCGGAAGGUUAAUUGAUGGGGUCAGCGCAAGCGAAGCUCCUGAUCGAAGCCCCGGUAAACGGCGGCCGUAACUAUAACGGUCCUAAGGUAGCGAAAUUCCUUGUCGGGUAAGUUCCGACCUGCACGAAUGGCGUAAUGAUGGCCAGGCUGUCUCCACCCGAGACUCAGUGAAAUUGAACUCGCUGUGAAGAUGCAGUGUACCCGCGGCAAGACGGAAAGACCCCGUGAACCUUUACUAUAGCUUGACACUGAACAUUGAGCCUUGAUGUGUAGGAUAGGUGGGAGGCUUUGAAGUGUGGACGCCAGUCUGCAUGGAGCCGGCCUUGAAAUACCACCCUUUAAUGUUUGAUGUUCUAACGUGGACCCGUGAUCCGGGUUGCGGACAGUGUCUGGUGGGUAGUUUGACUGGGGCGGUCUCCUCCUAAAGAGUAACGGAGGAGCACGAAGGUUGGCUAAUCCUGGUCGGACAUCAGGAGGUUAGUGCAAUGGCAUAAGCCAGCUUGACUGCGAGCGUGACGGCGCGAGCAGGUGCGAAAGCAGGUCAUAGUGAUCCGGUGGUUCUGAAUGGAAGGGCCAUCGCUCAACGGAUAAAAGGUACUCCGGGGAUAACAGGCUGAUACCGCCCAAGAGUUCAUAUCGACGGCGGUGUUUGGCACCUCGAUGUCGGCUCAUCACAUCCUGGGGCUGAAGUAGGUCCCAAGGGUAUGGCUGUUCGCCAUUUAAAGUGGUACGCGAGCUGGGUUUAGAACGUCGUGAGACAGUUCGGUCCCUAUCUGCCGUGGGCGCUGGAGAACUGAGGGGGGCUGCUCCUAGUACGAGAGGACCGGAGUGGACGCAUCACUGGUGUUCGGGUUGUCAUGCCAAUGGCACUGCCCGGUAGCUAAAUGCGGAAGAGAUAAGUGCUGAAAGCAUCUAAGCACGAAACUUGCCCCGAGAUGAGUUCUCCCUGAGACUUAGAGUCUCCUGAAGGAACGUUGAAGACGACGACGUUGAUAGGCCGGGUGUGUAUGCGCAGCGAUGCGUUGCGCUAACCGGUAC